GGGCCCAUGGUCUAGUGGUAUGACGUUUCCUUGACUUGGAAGAGAUCGCAGGUUCGAUCCCUGCUGGGCCCA
rnacentral:tRNA from 1 species